rnacentral:rRNA from 1 species
UGCAAGUCGAGCGGAAACGAGUUAUCUGAACCUUCGGGGAACGAUAACGGCGUCGAGCGGCGGACGGGUGAGUAAUGCCUAGGAAAUUGCCCUGAUGUGGGGGAUAACCAUUGGAAACGAUGGCUAAUACCGCAUGAUGCCUACGGGCCAAAGAGGGGGACCUUCGGGCCUCUCGCGUCAGGAUAUGCCUAGGUGGGAUUAGCUAGUUGGUGAGGUAAGGGCUCACCAAGGCAACGAUCCCUAGCUGGUCUGAGAGGAUGAUCAGCCACACUGGAACUGAGACACGGUCCAGACUCCUACGGGAGGCAGCAGUGGGGAAUAUUGCACAAUGGGCGCAAGCCUGAUGCAGCCAUGCCGCGUGUAUGAAGAAGGCCUUCGGGUUGUAAAGUACUUUCAGUCGUGAGGAAGGCGUUGUCGUUAAUAGCGGAAUCGUUUGACGUUAGCGACAGAAGAAGCACCGGCUAACUCCGUGCCAGCAGCCGCGGUAAUACGGAGGGUGCGAGCGUUAAUCGGAAUUACUGGGCGUAAAGCGCAUGCACGUGGUUUGUUAAGUCAGAUGUGAAAGCCCGGGGCUCAACCUCGGGAGUAGCAUUUGAAACUGGCAGACUAGAGUACU